rnacentral:rRNA from 1 species
CCUACGGGAGGCAGCAGUGGGGAAUAUUGCACAAUGGGGGAAACCCUGAUGCAGCGACGCCGCGUGAGUGAAGAAGUAUCUCGGUAUGUUAAGCUUUAUCAGCAUGGAAGAAAAUGACGGUACCUGAGUAAGAAGCUACGGCUAACUACGUGCCAGCAGCCGCGGUAAUACGUAGGGGGCCAGCGUUAUCCGGAUUUACCGGGUGUAAAGGGAGCGUAGACGGAAGCGCAAGUCUGAAGUGAAAUGCCGAGGCUUAACCCCGAAACUGCUUUGGAAACUGGGCAUCUAGAGUGCAGGAGAGGUAAGUGGAAUUCCUGGUGUAGCGGUGAAAUGCUUAGAUAUUAGGAGGAACACCAGUGGCGAAGGCGGUUUACUGGACUGUAACUGACGUUGAGGCUCGAAAGCGUGGGGAGCAAACAGGAUUAGAUACCCGAGUAGUC